AGGAUCAGAACACCAGAGAGACCAAGAAGGCCCUGGACAGGCCAGCUCACUUGGUCCAGCCCCAGGCCCCACACCUGUAACAAGGGCCGUGAUGACAGAGGUCUCAGCAAACAGCCCGCGGCCAAGGAGCUGGUGCAGCGAGGAGGGCAGGGGCCCACGCGCAGCCAUCCUCCAGAGAGCAUCAGUCUAGGCUGCAAGCUUGAAGCGGAAUGGACAGGUUAGUGGAAGCCUUGGCUGUGUCAUUUCUAGCCCCAAGUUAGGAAGAGGGCAGACAGGCUGCACCCAGUAAGAGCCAUGUCACGUGCAUCCAGGGAGAUGGGGGCUCGCGGGCUACGGAUCUUAAUGUGCAUCCAGCGGGGUCUGUGGACAAGAAGGCAAAUCUUGCAGGGAGUGACAGGUCAGAUGUUUAGGUCUCAGAGACUAAGCGUGGCUGAGCAACCAGACCCGGGUGGGGGUAUAUGGGGAGCCUCCCCGGGGCGGGGGGGUCUCCCCAUAUCCCCCCACCACUGUCCACACCUGAGGCCCUCUCUUUCCUGUGAACCCACAGAACAAAUUAGAUGAGAUAACUGCCUUGUUUCAUGGCUAAUUUUAGAGGUGAGAAAAAUAUGCAGUUUACUAAGGGAGAUUUGUGGGUUGCAUCCUCUGGGGGCGGGGGAAGGAGUUGUCACUUAGGGACCAGGAGAGAAUGGAAAGUAGGGACUUCGGAGGAGAGAACGUGUCGACCUUCUUAGCAGAGGCACCUGAGAAACUGGAAGGUGGAAAGGAGGACGUGCUUAUUGGGCUUUGAUUUGGACAGAGGGUGUGGGCUGGGGGAGAGAGACAAAGGUGACGGCAGGUGGCCCAGAGAUGGUGGCGCCUUAGGCACCGCAAGCCAUGGAGAGAAUGUCCUCCAGCCUCACCUCCACCAGCUUGUUAUGGCUCCGUGUAUCACCCGAGGCUGAGGUGAAUUGCUGCUGGAACUUUCCUUAGGGCCUGUGUAGGUUUGUCUAGAGUGGGAACAAGAGCUGCCACUGUCACCUUCGCAGGGAGGGGACCGUUUUCUGUCUGCUCUUAGAGGCUGGCAGUGGAAGCACCAUGUGUGUGGAACCCUGCUGGGCGACAAAGGGCUCCACCCACACAGGAGGGUCCAGCUAGAGAGCCAGACAGGGGUCCUGCCCGUUGGACUGAGCAGGGCAGCUCCAUGCACCUGGCAGCCAUACACCAAGACACAGAAUUCAGUGACCAUACCUGCCAGUGAGUGUGCCAGGAGGGAUGGGGCUGCCACACAGCCAUCCCCCACAUGCAGGGGGGUGGGGGCCGGGCUUGGGCAAGCCCAGGGCAGCCCUUCGCCAGGCCGCGCUGCACCCUGUGUCCUGACAGCCACCCCUGUCUGGCCCCAGUCGCCACCUCCCCCAUCCCAGGAGAGGCAGGAGGAAAGCAGGAACCAGCUGCCGCGUGUGAGGCAACGAGGAGCAAGAUUUUCCACUUCCUCAGAGCUGACAAUCUCAUUCUUUUCAAAAAAAUACCUUUUUUUUCCUCCUCUCUCUCUGGCACCUCUCUGGCUGAGGUGCCUCAGAAGCUGGAAGGUGGGUGGGAGGAAGUGCUUAUUUGGACCUCCUGUCAAGCCUCUCUUCCUCGGCGGCCUACUUUUCACUCAGGCAGCCUAUCCCCAGACGGCUCCGCUGCGGAGGGAAACUCCCCGGGGCCCGCAGGGAUGGGUGGGCGGUGGGCAGAGGGCCAGAGGGGGGCAUGCAGGCUUCUCAGCCUGAGAGAGGAGAAAAAAACCUCCUCCUGCACCGCCCCCUCCUUCUUGGGCAGGCUGGGGAGGGGCAGUGGAGGAGGGGGAGAUGUGGGCGCCAGCCCCGCACUGAAGACCUAAUCCAGCUGCACCCGCCAAGGUAGAGCUCGGGGCCCGGGGAGCCCAUGCCCACCCCGAGGAUGGAAGAAGAGCUGUGUGACCGAGUAGCCCAGCAGCCCCGCGUGGAUCAAACCCAGCCUAGCUCUCAGCACAUUUAAUCCUCGCGAAGGACCUAUGAGUAAGGAGAAGGCAGUUUUAUAGAUGCCGAGAGACCAGCAUUCACGGGCCCAAGUUCCCAUAGCUGGUCAGUAUGGAGCGAGAAUGCAAACGCAGGGCCAUGUGGAUGUCCCUCCGCUCUACUUUGGUGACUUGUUCCUUCAGUCCUGGCAAGUCACUUAGCCCUUGCCUUUCAGGAUGGACGUGCCUGCCUCACCUGCGGUCUUGGUGCUUGCAGCCUCCACACUGUUCCUAGAGCCUCCUGAUGUUGGCUGCAUUAUCUGCCUUGACAGUAUCAGUGCCCUGACCACCAGUUUAUAUCCGACCUUCCACAUUUUGACCCAGAUGGAGUGCAUCUGCCAGUUCACUGUCCUGGGAGAAGUGCCUGCCUUUUCAUUCUUUAUACUUUGCUGUGCUUGAGUGUCGGAACUUCCCUGUGGACAUGCUCUGGGAAUAGACAGUGGGUCCCUUAGGAGGAGUGGGUUAGGGGGUUGGGGAAAAGACAGUGCCUAUAGAAAAUGUAUAAUUUGUUUAUCCGACCUGCCAUGAGACCUCAAGGCCUUGGAGGAAAGAAAAGCUAGACGCUCGUAUGUAAUAAUAUCAAGUGAUCCUUAUUACUGCUCUUUGUGAAAGGGCGAUCGAGGAAAAUAUACCCAUUUUACAGAUUGCAGAGAAAGAACAAAUGCUUGUCCAAGCCCUCACAGAUCAUCAGACAUAGAAUAUGGGAUUUGAAACCAAACCUGUUUGAUGCGAAGACUCUUUCCACUGAGUAUCAUUUCCAAAGACAGAAAUUUCACAAGGUGAAUAACCAGUAUCUACCUAGAACAGGUUGUGCCAACCGUAUUUAUUACACUGUGAAGGAAAGGAUAUUUUGUCCUUGAAUUCUUCUAAAAUGAUGAUCCUUGGUUUGUCUACAUUUUUCUCC
ensembl:lncRNA